GUGUGCAGGACAUGCCACAACAUGAAAAUCAUCUAGGCAAAUUUUGGAAAUGGUGCAUCUUACUCUUAAAAUCUAGAAGUGCAUCUAUCACUUCUCUGUAGGUAGUACUUAUCUCUUGUUGACAUCAGCUAUCCUUUUUCAAGAGCAUGGGUGAAGGGGAUAGCUGUAUUUGGUGGGCAGCUGAUUGUGGAACUUUUUUUUUUUUUUUUGGAGGAUAUGAAUAGAACAUAUUCCAUUUUGCAUACUACUAAAUAUUAUCUAUACCACUGUUAAAGUACUGUUGAAUAUUGUAUUUUAAAAUCCUAACUCUCUUGGAUAUCGACAAUUUAAAGAUCAAAAUGGUUGGUAAUGUGGCUCAAUAUGAACAGGUUGGACUGAUGCUUUCGGGAAUGGGAGCUAACUCUGAUGUUUUCAAAAUGGAUUUUAAUCAAUUGUGCUUAAAUUUAGGCUUACAAGCACUUCAGCCUUUUGACGCCACUCGUGCUAGGAGUAUGCCAUAUAGAGGAUUUGUUUAUUUAUUUAGUUAUAAUUCAAGACCAUUUUCAAUAUAUUGUAAUAAAUAUUAUAUAUAUAUAUAUUUAUAUUUGUGUAGUAAUAUAAAUUUUGUUUAAUAUUCAGUUUUAAUUAUAUUGCAACA